rnacentral:tRNA from 1 species
GCGCUCGUAGCUCAGUUGGAUAGAGUAUCAGACUCCGAUUCUGGGGGUCGGGGGUUCGAAUCCCUCCGGGCGCGCCA